rnacentral:piRNA from 1 species
UGCAUUUUGGUGUCUGGUCAGGAGCGGGU